UACGUAGGGUGCAAGCGUUAAUCGGAAUUACUGGGCGUAAAGCGUGCGCAGGCGGUUAUGUAAGACAGAUGUGAAAUGCCCGGGCUUAACCUGGGAACUGCAUUUGUGACUGCAUGGCUAGAGUUUGGCAGAGGGGGGUAGAAUUCCACGUGUAGCAGUGAAAUGCGUAGAUAUGUGGAGGAACACCGAUGGCGAAGGCAGCCCCCUGGGUCAAGACUGACGCUCAUGCACGAAAGGCGUGGGGAGCAAACGAG
rnacentral:rRNA from 1 species